ensembl:lncRNA
AGGUGGCAAGGAGAGACAGGUAUCAUGGAGGAAACUUCAGAGAUCAUGCAGAUUUCAGUAGUAGAUUUCUUAUUCUGUUUGGCAGAAAUGUCUGCUUUGCAGAGUUGAUUCAAAGUGCUAUUGAAUUCUCCCUCAACCCCUGCCAGAACAUGAGAGCCACAUUGGCCGUGCUGGAGAAAGGCAUAAAAUGCCUUCUAUUCUAAGUACAUAUGGACCCCUGGCAACUGCAGAGGUAAUCAUUAACUCUGACUUCCCUUUGUUCUCCUGCCAGCUUGCUAAGUGCGUAACUGUGCUUGUGGCAGUCAGGGGGUUCUGACCCACUCAUACUAAAAGAUGUAGUGGAGAACGAAAGAGGUCACGGACUAAGCCUCUCCAUGAAAUGGAGAGCAACACUUGUGCUGCAGCAACCUUGUAAUGUGAAAGAUCAUCCUGAGACUUUGGGAGGAGUGCUGGACAAUGUGGGAAGAUCUCCAUCUUAACUCUGUAUGAGAGCAAGAGGGCAAAAAGAAUGAAAUGAAGCAGAAAAAGAAUCUCCUCUAACUCAGAAGUCACCUGAAUUGCAAGAGCUGCACUUCUGCUUUCACUCUGCCGUGGAUUUGCGUUGUCUGAUGCCAGAGACAGGAGUCCUGACACUCACCAGCCUGCCUUGGAGAAGAGUAGACAGUUUGUACCUCAGAAACCACUGGCCCUGAAAGAAUAGGUACAUUAAAUAUUAGCAGUUCCCAGCCCUCACCCUGGCCUAGCUGUCAGCGAGUUCAUUUGCUUGUCUGGAGGGACCACAGGAAUGUAGGAGUCAAGGGGAAAUAUCACAAGAGUGAUGGACUGUGAGGCUCCCAGGUUCCCUCUGCCAUUGCAGAGCUCUUCGACCUAUUGUAAUCGUCACCAGACAAAAUGAGUCUUUUUCCUUCCAGACAGAUUGGAGGCAAAGGACAGUGCUUUAGAGUCAAUGUUACAUUUAAGAAACAACAUGCAAUUCAAACCUUGUAAUUAUCAUGAUUUUUCAGACUGGCAGUGAAGAUGGGAGCAAGAAGGCAGCAGUGAACCUGGGAGAAAGGAGAGACUUUUUUUCAUUUUUUUCAGCUUCUAUUUCUUCCCCACUGACAAAAGAAAGAAAAUAAGGACUUUCAUGGAAAACUAAAUUAAGGUGAAGGCUGAUAUCUUAAUAGGCUCUGCCUAGAUCUGUGCAUCUCAAUUCUUGAUGGGCCUCCAGUUUGUUCCUGUACUGAUUGCUGUCCUCGGUGCUGCAGUUUUUUGAGGUGAUCCCUUCCUUGUCGUGUGAAGCUUUCCCAGCCUGAUUUUAAGUCUGGUCAGGUUCCUCCUGCUUCCUCCCAUUCUGGAAAGUCCUAGAUUCAAAGCCCUGAUGACUUCAGUUUAGAUCCAGGUUUAUUCAGGAAGAAAGGCAAACAAAAGUGAAGGAAUAAAUACAAAUACCAAAACAGCUCCAGAUGAAAGGCAGUAAAAUAACUGCCUGCUGCUCCCUCUUGAAAGGCUGGCAGCAACUCGGAGCAUCUUCCUGUGUUCCUAGUGCAAAGGAUUGGCUUCCAUCAGUAAUGUGUCCAUCUGAAUCUCUCUAACUCCUCCAGGUCCAACCAGGAGAUGUGGGAGCAAUUGCAGUAGGUUCCUCAGAAGCUUCACAGACGGAAUGAGAUCAUUUGAUGCAUAAUAAAGACUCAUCCUGGAAGAAAGCUCAGCUAAUUUCUCAAAAACACAAGGAACCAGGUGAAAGAGGAGCAAAGCUCUGAAGAAGUGAAAUCCUUAAUCAAUGCAGUAUUUUCAAAGGAGAGUUGUAACACAGAAGGAACUGGAAAUUUGCCAACAAAGGAGGCAUCUGAAAGAGAAGAUAAAUAUUUAGCCAUUGAGAUCUGUUAAAGUACAAAACAUCAUCUAUUAUUCAGAUUCAAAAUUAUGUUAUUUAAAUAUUGUCACAGCUGUCAUACAAACAGGACUAUGAAAGCAAAUUACAAGUACAGGGCUAUGACAAGAGGAAAAUUAUUCCUGGUCAGAAACAGGAUCUCUUUACUCUGAUGAGGUCAAAAGCAGUUUAGCUGAAGAGGGAACAGAAUCAUUUUCAGCACUGUUAGAAAAAGCACAUGGACAAGGAGUUGGUUCAACAUAAUGUCAGGAUUUCUUUGCCAGCUCUGGAAAGUGUUUUGCCUUGUCUUGAAGAACUAUUUCAUUUCCUCCCAAAAUGCAAGAGCUUCAGGAACCGUCAAGCAUCUUAAGAAGGUACACAAAACUUAAAGCUGACACUCAAGUACCAAGAGAACUGUACGCAACAGCAAGGGCAACUGGAAGUCAUGUAGAGUGCCUCUCAGUCUAUAAUUGCCAAAGGAGUGCUGCCACUGAACAGAUACAUUAUUGGAGCAAGGAGGAGCCCAGGGAGAGGCGAAGAGAGCAAGAAAAAUCUGACAAGCAGAGGAACAACGAGAACAGACAAGGAGAAAAACCUGUCAGUGGAAACCUAAUCCAACUCCAAGGAAUAUACAGCACUGCUCAAAGCAGAAUCUACAUGAUGACAAGGUCAUUUUCAUCUCAUCAGCUAUGAAGCGCAGCCUGGCACCUUCCUCCCCCAUCUCUUUCCCCACAGAGGUACAGAAGGAGAGAAUGAGUUGAAUGACAGGUGAUCAAGGUGCUGCGCUGAGUAAACAGCUGCUGGCAAUGCAAGGUUUAAAGAGCUGACAGGGUAUCUAGGAAACUUCACGGAAACAACAAAUUCUCUUCCUCACGGACACACCCCAGUGCAAUCUUUACAAAAUAGAGUUUAGCUGGUCUUGUGUAGACUCCAAAUACCUUCCAGGAACACAGCUGGCAUUUCCAAAGGGGGUCAAGAUCACAAACUACAUGCGUCCUCAGCAAACGACCAGGAGCUGGAGGGCCAGAUGGACUGCUGAAGUAUGUGGACACACAAGGCACCUUGGGAGCCCCCAGUCUGUCUUCUGACCAUCAUUCAAAACACCUUUGAUUUUGCCAUAACUUGUCCCAACUGCUACUGCUCAUUUAUCAGUUAUUUCCAAUUUCAAUCCACUUCUGAAAGGAGUCAUUUCUUCAUUAUAGGUGCUUUUAUUAAUCCUUCUGACCUUUUGCAUUGCUCCCUAAAGGAGCGUUGGCAGUGUAGGACUCAUUGCAGUGUAACUGGACCCAUGAAAUAUCCUUCUAUGUAGAGAUGAUUAUUCUCUAGAACAGUGACAUGGCUUCAGAAUGACAGAGUAUAGGUGAAGCAGAACAGAUUGGAGAAACGUAAAGUACUGUGUAAGUGUAGGAUAGGACUUUGCUCAUGGUAAAUUUAAAAAUAUUGGUUUGAAAAAGGGAGAUACAAUGAUCAUACAUACCUAGGAAGAUCUUAUCCCUAAAUGGGUCUGUGUCAUCUUCACUGAAUUCAUCCUGCUACUAGGGAAGGGAAUUAGCUUUUAUUAUUGAGUUUACUGUUUGUCUCCCUCAUUCAGUAUUGCAGUGAUCUUUUAAGUUACCGGAUGUGCUCAUAUGUCUGCCUUGUUCAAGAGAAGUUGCUAUUAAAAACCAAUGGACAGCCCAUUUUGUUCCAAGUCCUCCUAUUAGGUAUGUUUCAGUCACUAGUGGUAAAGUAACACUGUUGGGAUUGCCCAGUCCUAGUGACAAGGACGUGU